GGGCGCAWKYNCUGAUGCAGCCMUGCCGCGUGUAUGAAGAAGGCCUUCGGGUUGUAAAGUACUUUCAGCGGGGAGGAAGGGAGUAAAGUUAAUACCUUUGCUCAUUGACGUUACCCGCAGAAGAAGCACCGGCUAACUCCGUGCCAGCAGCCGCGGUAAUACGGAGGGUGCAAGCGUUAAUCGGAAUUACUGGGCGUAAAGCGCACGCAGGCGGUUUKUUWAGUCAGAUGUGAAAUCCCCGGGCUCAACCUGGGAACUGCAUCUGAUACUGGCAAGCUUGAGUCUCGUAGAGGGGGGUAGAAUUCCAGGUGUAGCGGUGAAAUGCGUAGAGAUCUGGAGGAAUACC
rnacentral:rRNA from 1 species